CAAUAGCGUAUAUUAAAGUUGUUGCAGUUAAAAAGCUCGUAGUUGGAUUUGUGGUGUACUUUGGCGGCCCGUCACUAUGUGAUGGAGCUUGCUGAAGUCGCCAUCCUUGGGUGGAUCCUGUGUGGCAUUAAGUUGUCGUGCAGGGGAUGCCCAUCGUUUACUGUGAAAAAAUUAGAGUGUUCAAAGCAGGCUUAUGCCGUUGAAUAUAUUAGCAUGGAAUAAUAAGAUAGGACCUUGGUACUAUUUUGUUGGUUUGCGCACCAAGGUAAUGAUUAAUAGGGACAGUUGGGGGUAUUCGUAUUUCAUUGUCAGAGGUGAAAUUCUUGGAUUUUUGAAAGACGAACUACUGCGAAAGCAUUUACCAAGGAUGUUUUCAUUA
rnacentral:rRNA from 1 species